GUGCUCUCUUCGGCAGCACACGUACUAAAACUGGAACAAUACAAAAGAUUAGCAAGGCCUCUGUGCAGGAUGACAUGAAAAUUCAUCAAGUGCCACAGAAACAA